UGCAGAAGAUAUCUUCUAAUCUGAAGAAAAGACAUAAUAAACAAGUGUGAGUUUUAAAUUAAAAACUCAGCAAGUGGAUGGUUAAUUCUAACUUGGAUUUGGCCAAUAGCACGACAAAUAAGUAAACAAACUGUCAAUUUGUUGAAUCACAGAAAUCUAGCUACAAGAAUCACCCAGGGGAGACGACAUUCCGCCCUUAACCCCUCGCACGAGAUCCACAAUCACCCAGGAGAGACGACACUCCACCCUGUACCCUUCGCACCCACCCUGACAUCACGAGAUCUCCUGAGAAGCUAUUCAACCCUUCUCAGUCCCCUGGAGAGAAAACCACUACUCCUCGUCACCCCUCUCCAGGCAUCCCGACACCUAGGGUCUCAUUGGCUCUUUAGCCAACUACACACAUUCGUAGUUCCACCUGUUACAUCACCAACAAUUCUAGUAUACUAACAAUCAUACCAUGGUCUAACAUAUAUUAUUAGAUAUUUCAAAGUAUAUAGGAACCCCAUUAGAGGCGACAAAGUAAGAGUCCAACCUUUUCUUGCAGAAAACUCAGAAUCUACUAUCCUGGACAGAACUAGGCAAAAGCGACUAGUCUCAGUAAUUAUAACCAAAACAAAGUGAUAGUAAGGCUCUAAAUGAACACUUUUCAAAAAGGAAACCAAGACCUGUAAAGAGAGCAGCAAUAUGGUUUAUGCAGCUCAAAUUUCCUUCCACCAAACAAAAUCAACAACUGGGAGGUUUAGUCCAUUUCAAAGUUCAAAAUUCAGUAUAAUGUGUUGAAAUUUUAAUAUGUUCUGCACCUACAUGUCUUCUACUACUUUCAUGAAGGAAGUUUGCUCAAAAUCGAACCACAGCAAAAGCUAUAAAAUUAACAAACAAAGAGAAUCCAGGAAGUCUAAUUCUAGGAAUCUAUACUGAAUCGCAAACUAAAUUACAAUACUCCAACUACGUGCAAAUCUUGAGUUGAACACAUCAAAAUCACGAGUUCCAGACCACAUACAAGGCUCAUCUUCAAUUAAACUCAAUGAAACCAGUUCAUGGCGAAAAUCAAGCACCCUAAAAUCACGUGCACGGGAGGUUGGCGUCAAAUUCUCUACCCACGGCUAGAUGAAACCAAACCAGCCUUUCUCCAAGCCAAAAGGAUAUGAACCAACUCACCAAGCUGCAGUCUUACCGUCCCUCUAUGAAUCCUGAACCAACUAUCUCAGCUCACGGCCACGCCGAACCUCACGGGACUAUCCUCAAGUUCGUGGUUUCACUCUCUCUCUCACCCACGGUCUCCCUCUCUCCCACACCAGCAACACAGACUAGGAAAAAUCAACUCAGGGAUCCAUCAUACAGGCUCACGGUCUCACCGAAGCGCUCAGGGAACCCAAACCAAGACACUGAGCUCGCGGCCUCUCCUCGGCGCAUUCUUGCCAAUCCAUGCAAACAGCUCACGAACUCCCUCUCUUCACCGUGGCUUCACAAACCCUCACAGCAACCAAAACCGCUACCUAGUGAGAAUUUCUAACGCUGCUAAACACUUACAGGGUCACGAUUCAACACGUAAGAGGUAUUUCAGUUAGUGCAGAGGGAAAGAACUUCGACCAGCUCACAUUCCAGCUCCAAACCGAGCUGUGUUCUCAGAUUUUCCGCACCCAACUUCGAAAUCUACCCCGAUUUUCACAUGCACAGCUAGGCACAGCCAUUUCAUGAACCCAGGACACUAAUCACAGUCGCGCUUGCCUGGAUCUUUCACCGGCGGAAGAGGAAGGAGGCGUCGGGCGAGCUGGGGUUUCACGGCCGGCAGCGGGGCUCUGAACGGAACAGGGCAGUGACGAUUUCGCUGCUGGACGGAGACACCGGUCGUGAGAGGCCGAGAUGGGGUCAGGCUCGGCGGAGAUGAACGGAAGUGGGAGGAAAGGAAGGAGAUGUGUCUCGGCUCAGAGGAAUAGAAGAGAACGCGCGUCCGUUUGUGAGCCAGAGGGUGUCGAGUGGUUCAGAGAAGGAAAAUGAUUAAAAAAAAAAUACAAGUGUCG
rnacentral:lncRNA from 1 species